rfam:Hordeum vulgare subsp. vulgare, WGS project CAJW01000000 data, contig: morex_contig_48947
CUAAUACUACCUCUGUCCUAAAAUUCUUGUCUUAGAUUUGUCAAGAUACAAAUGUAUGUAACAUUAAAAUGUGACUAGGUACAUCCGUAUUUUGGUAAAUCUAAGACAAGAAUUUUGGGACGGACGGAGUAUUCG